GAAAGACUUCUCAAAACUUCAUCUUAUCAAGUUACUGUUGUUGAUUCUGGAAGUAAAGCUUUGGAGUUGCUUGAAGUAAGAGAAACGGGAGUGAAUUUGAUAAUUACAGAUUAUAGUAUGCCGGAAAUGACUGGUUAUGAUUUAUUGAGGAAAGUUAAAGGAUCAUCUUAUUUGAAGGAUAUUCCAGUUAUAAUUAUGUCAUCGGAAAAUGUUCCAUCAAGGAUUAAUAGAUGUUUAGAAGAAGGAGCUGAAGAGUUUUUUCUGAAGCCAGUUCAACAAUCAGAUGUUAACAGAAUUAAGCCUCAUUUAAUGAGGGAGAAACCUAAUUCUCUAAAGAGAAAAGCUAUGGUUGAAUGCAUUUCACCUGACAGAACCAGAAAAUACAGCAGCAACAACAACAACAGUUUAUGUAGCAUCUUUUUGCAGAACAUUUGUGAGUGAAGGGGAAAUUGUUUCAGACAAACAUAUUCAGUGUAAUCUCUCGCUCGCAAUUGAGAUCUCAGAUCUGAGAUCUAAGAAGGGCUGGGCAGAUCCAGAUCGAGGUGUUUAUAUCAAACAGAUGAAUUUAAAAGAAUUAUCAAAGAAUUAUAGAAAAAAAUUUGUUGAAGAUGGAUGGAAGUGACUGGAUUAACACUUUGUUUAUAUCAAUCAAGUAGAUCUGAUCUGAUUUGGGACUAAUUUAGCCCUAAUUAUAUACAAUUAUACAUAGGACUUAGGAGUAGUACAUAAUUUCCUUUUUGUUAUUAUACACA
rnacentral:misc_RNA from 1 species